UGAAACAGCACAGACCCUCAUUGUGUUGUUUCGGUGUAAAUAGAGACGAACGAGACUCGUUGCGAAGGAGCCUGAUGUUAGUCUGAAAAAUCUGGAUGAGAAUGAGUCCUCUCUCAGGCCCCUGUGCGCUUUGCAGGAGCCACACACUGGAAUUCGAAACGCAGCUGAUCCUCAAAAGAAAAGCCCGGGGUCACCCUUCGGUCACACUUCGAGUUUGUUGUCCCAGCACCACCCAAACCUGAACACCAGUUUACAGACCCGCUCUGGACAAACACGCAGCCACAGAGUCCAGCCCCAUGAGGACGGUUUGAUCAAAACACUUCCACACUCGGCACUAAGCGAUGAAAUGACCUCAGCCAUGUGAAAUUUGGACGUGGUUUCUGGUCCCUGUACCGCCAGAGUCUGGCCCUGCGUGCACGGCUGAUGGUUCCCAUUAAGGCCCUCAAAUAAACACCCGGACGAUGACAGAUGUUUGACACAAACCAUUAGGGCUUUGUGAAAAGAAGGACGGACGUUUAAAGCUCUCGACCUUAAGAAGGUGACGCAGAAAUGAAUUCAUCUGCGCGUCCUUGAUGUGCCUGAAGUAGACGUGGGCCUGGUGCCAACCAGACGUUUGUGCCAUGUGAUUGGAACAGGCCUGGCACAAAUUGAGGAAACUACUUUUCGACACAUCAGUGGCUGCAGCGAGAUGAUUUGUGAGACAGGAAGAGGAAACUAAGAUGACACCAUGAUUCACAGGCCACCAGCUCAAAGGGUACAGGUAUUUAUCUGGAAACCACAUACACACACUUUCACACAGAGAAAUGCAAUGAUAUACACAGACGUUAUUUGUGCUGGCAAUCAAAUGCAAAUACAAGUGCUUGGGGAUACUAUAAGGUCAGAGAAGAGUUUGCACAUGCAUGCAGUGGCUCACAGUGCAGUGAGAGAAACGGAGAGGAAAUAGAUUUCAAAAGCUGUCAGCACAGCGGUGUCACACCGAGGUCUCAUCCUCUGAAGUCUCACCUAUAUGUCUUAUGUUUUCAUUUUUCCCAGAGGCUUAUUUGUGUGUAUGUGUGUUCCAAAGACAAAGGGAAAGACUAUAAACCCCCAACAGAAUUAUUAAGUAAGAGGAAAAUGGAGGAAGCACACAAGUUUCGAAGACUAUUCCACUGCACCACCCUUGGUAAAUAUCCAUUUGGCAUUGCCAUUAAACCUUAUUGACCAAAGCUUUUAUGGUUCAGCCUCAUUUCUCCAUUGUAAUAGAGAAGUCCAGGAACAUUAUGCAAAUGGGGGUGCAGAGAUAGGAACUAUAAUAUCAGUGGAGGCCUCUGCAGUGACACCUACAUUGAUCCAACUGCGUCUUUACACACACAUCGUAGUCAUGGUUUGUUUAUGAUCAGCUAUGUUACUGCCUUACUUGGCCACAGUGAAGACCAGAACAAGAGAGUAAGAAAAACAGUUUCUUCUCUAAGUCAAACUGAGUCUCAGCAGCAGACUGAAAGUGCUGGCAGCCCGCAGAGGCAGACAGACAGAAGUCACUCAUCAGGAUCGUUGAGGUAUUGGCACAUCUGUGCUCAUUGACCACUGCCGUGUUGUGAUUGGCAGCCAAAAUGAAUUCCUACAUCGACAGAUGUGCAUCUCCAUGUGCCGAUAAAGGGACGGUGCCGAUGGAGGGGAUUGACAGUAUGAUGGAGGAAGAGAAGGAGGGGAAGGAGAGGAGCGGAGAGGUGACAUCAUGUGGUCAGUGGCGGCCUGUCCUGCUGCUUCUGCGUAUGUCGGUGAUGCUGGUUAGAUGAUGGGA